AGUGAACGCUGGCGGUAGGCCUAACACAUGCAAGUCGAACGGCAGCACAGUAAGAGCUUGCUCUUACGGUUGGCGAGUGGCGGACGGGUGAGGAAUACAUCGGAAUCUACUUUUUCGUGGGGGAUAACGUAGGGAAACUUACGCUAAUACCGCAUACGACCUACGGGUGAAAGCAGUGGAUCUUCGGACCUUGCGCGAUUGAAUGAGCCGAUGUCGGAUUAGCUAGUUGGCGGGGUAACGGCCCACCAAGGCGACGAUCCGUAGCCGGUCUGAGAGGAUGAUCGGCCGCACUGGAACUGAGACACGGUCCAGACUCCUACGGGAGGCAGCAGUGGGGAAUCUUGGACAAUGGGCGAAAGCCUGAUCCAGCCAUACCGCGUGGGUGAAGAAGGCCUUCGGGUUGUAAAGCCCUUUUGUUGGGAAAGAAAAGCAGCAGGUUAAUACCCCGCUGUUCUGACGGUACCCAAAGAAUAAGCACCGGCUAACUUCGUG
rnacentral:rRNA from 1 species